UCUAAUGGUUCAUUGUUGUGGGGUUACAAUGGCUGAGAUAAAAUCUCCAGAGCAUUUCCUGGCAGGCUCGGGGCAGCCAGCAACCUCCACUCCCGAGCUGUGGCCAUCCCCUGCCUCAGCACCCAGGGCACAGCCACCCAAUUCCUGCGGCAUUCCCACGUUGGCAGUGGCCACGCAGAACCAAAAUCUGUUCACUUAUAACUUGUCCUGGGCUUCUGAGUGAAGGAUGAUGUGCUGUGCUUGCACUGAAGGCCAAGGAUGUUUUUUAAGCCUGGCAGAAUCAAUCUCCUUCCUCGGGAACACCAGCACAGAAGAAAUGCCCAGGGUUUCCCUUCCUAACACCUUCUCCAAUAAAGAGGAAAUAAAUACCUGGCACAUGAAUCCACAUCAGGGGAGCAAGCCUCUCUUCUCUUUAAUGCCAGGUGAGUACUGACCGCCCUGGUGCUGGCACAGGCUGGAGCAGGGAACAACAGGAUCUGAGGAGAGAUGGAAAUAAUGAAAGCAAAGCCCUGCAGUGACCUGGAGUGCUGCAGAGCAGCCUUCCCAGCCUUGGUGGCCUCGAGCUCCUUCUGCAGAGCUCUCCCCGAUACCCCUGGAAAAGGCAAUAAGGUGUUUUGCUUUCUCUGGAUGAUGCCUAGGGAAAAGACAAGGGUGUGCAAGUUACCAUCUUCUUUAAAGGUCAGAAAGAGGAAAGAACGACUUUCCUAGGUGGAAAAACCUCCUAGAUUUCCACUGGCAUGCAGCCUGCUGCUGGAUUUGCUCCUGAGCCACCCACAGCACGAGCUGAUGCGAUUGUGAUGAUCCCUUCUUUCCUGAGGGUGACUCUGACUGGAUCCGGCUGACCUGCUUUGACAUCCACCUUCAUCUGCAGGGCUUGCCCUGGGAAGUUGAGCCUGGAAUUCUCUCAGAAUAAGGAGAAGAAUCUCCCAGGCUGGAGCCCUGGUGAAGCGAGGUCUCCUGAACUUCUGCUCUCCCUGCCUUUGAAACCUCUCUGCGUCCUCCAGUGGGAAUAACACCGGCCAUUCCCAGAGGGCAAUCCAGGUAUUUUUGUUCACAGCAAAGGAAUCUCCUUUUUUUGUUCUUUUAGGAACUUCAGCCAAGAUGCUGCUACACAGUGUAAGGUUAUUUAUAGGUAAGGGUGAAGAGAAGAAAACCAAGAGUCAACAUUUGAACAUUCUUGCUCUCGGUUCCAUGAGGUGUGACAGGUACAGUGGUGAGAGCUCUGCAGGAGCCCCUCAGGGGCACAAACGGGAAUUUGAGCCUCAGGAAACUCCUGUCACAGUCCUGACCACAGGCUGGGACAGCUCAUAGAACCCCAGAAUGGUUCAGGUUGGAAGGAACCUUAAAGAUUAUCAAGUUCCACCACUGCCAUGGGACACCUCCCACUGUCCCAGGCUGCUCCAGCCCCAGGGUCCAGCCUGGCCUUGGGCACUGCCAGGGAUCCAGGGGCAGCCACAGCUGCUCUGGGCACCCUGUGCCAGGGCCUGCCCACCCUCACAGGGAACAAUUCCUGCCCAAUAUCCCAUCUAAAUCUCCACUCCUUCAGCUCCAAGCCAUUCCCUGUGUCCUGUCCCUCCAGGCCCUUGCCCAAAGCCCCUCUCCAGCUCUCCUGGAGUCCCUUCAGGCACUGGAAGGUGUCCAAGUACUUACCGGGGUACUAAUGAAACUCUAAUUAAAUUCUGGUUUCUUCCCAUAAGCUACAGAAGAGAGCACUAUAAAGGUACAUGCAAAUACCCCCACAAAUCUAACGUGACAGAGAAAUGUGUGUGUGAAACCACAGAUAUUGGAGAGAAGAAAGCCAGAGGAAGAUUCACCUCAAAGGAAGUCAGAAACCAACACCUUUUUAGCUCAUCUACAGACUGCUCAGAGGCAGAACCAUGGAAGAACCAAGCACAGCAAGUCUGUUAUCAAAAAAAACCCUUAAAAUAAACCUUGCAGCACCAAAAAAAGCAAAAUUUCAGACUGGUUCUAGUUAUAUUCGGUGUACUCAGAAGCAUCUUUCCACUUAACAGGAGUUUUAUCAGUUUGCUUAUCUUAUCUUGAUGUACACCAACAGUAACAGCUUCUCUUCACAUUUUAACUCAGGACAUGUCAGAGGCAGUGAAAUGUCCCCAGAGGUGUGAGCCAUGAACUCCAAACCUGCACAGUCAUGAAUAUUCCCAAAUUAACAAUGCUCCCAAGUCUUUCUGCCAACAUCUUCCACCCCGUAAGCAAAGACAGGCCUUGGAGACUCCCAGAGUGUCAAUCCAAGCUAAUUUCAGAAAUAUUUGAUGAUGCCUCCUUUUGUAAGCAUAUGUGAUAGUUCUAAUUCACUGAAGCUUCCCAUAUGGUGCAUCCCUGUUCUUCUUCCCAUCAACAGUCAGAGGAGGAAUGACAGUAAAUCUGGAAAUAAAGGAAAAUGCAGUUCCAGGUUUCUCACAAUCAACCACAAAAUAUUUCAUUGUACCAGGGAAACUCCAGGAUGUGGAACUGAAGGACACAGAAGCCAAUUUUCAGUAGUUUCUCCUCAAUGCUGCCUCCCUAUUAGAGGACACAGCUACAGGCCCUGCUCCUGGGAACCACCAACAGGAGUCAGAAUUUCCACAAUUUCGGAUUAAAGCUGCUCCCUAUGGCCUUCUGAUGGAUCACAACCCACCAUUGUUGUUUUUAACAGGACUGUCAUGAAAACUGCAAAGUCUAAAAAAGUGUAUUUUUGCCAGAAUAUUACUUACAUUAAAAAAAAUUCAUAAAGCCACAGCCUUUGUUCUUAUGAGUCAGCAGUUAUGGUGAAUGAAAAUAGCUGCAGGUGGCACUGGCUGGAGGACAGGAUGACACACCUUUCCCACCUACAUGGUGCAUGGAAAACCAAGCAGAACUUUUAAUAUUUUAUGUUAAAUAACUCCAGGAUUCAAGGAU